ACUGCGGAGGACAUUAAUGAAUUCACUAUGGAGUUGUUGCUGGCCUCUAGGGGCAUGUGCACGCUUCACUAGUCUUUCAACCACCUGUGAACUUUUGAUAGAUCUGUGAAGUCGUCCUUCAAGUCGUCAGACUUGGUUUGCUGGGAUUUAAACGUCUCGGUGUGACAACGCAGUCUAUUUACUUAACACACCCCAAAUGUAUGUCUACGAAUGUCAUUUAAUGGGCCUUGUGCCUAUAAACCAUAAUACAACUUUCAACAACGGAUCUCUUGGCUCUCGCAUCGAUGAAGAACGCAGCGAAAUGCGAUAAGUAAUGUGAAUUGCAGAAUUCAGUGAAUCAUCGAAUCUUUGAACGCACCUUGCGCCCCUUGGUAUUCCGAGGGGCAUGCCUGUUUGAGUGUCAUUAAAUUCUCAAACUCACAUUUAUUUGUGAUGUUUGGAUUGUUGGGGGUUGCUGGCUGUAACAAGUCGGCUCCUCUUAAAUGCAUUAGCAGGACUUCUCAUUGCCUCUGCGCAUGAUGUGAUAAUUAUCACUCAUCAAUAGCACGCAUGAAUAGAGUCCAGCUCUCUAAUCGUCCGCAAGGACAUUUUGACAAUUUGACCUC
rnacentral:rRNA from 1 species